rnacentral:tRNA from 2 species
CGGAGUAGCUCAGUUGGUAGAGCGCCUCACUUGUAAUGAGGAUGUCGCGGGUUCAACUCCUGUCUCCG